GCAUCCUGGGCCUACGUAGUUUGUCAGAAACAAACAUCAGAGUCAACGUAGUUCGGGGAAAGGGAGGCACGCUCGCUAGGAUAUCGCAUCCUAUGCCUACGUAUCUCAUCUGGAAUGAGAAUUAGAGCUGUCAUAGUUCGGCUAACGCACGCCGAAACAAAACACCAAACAGAGACGCUGAGACGUCCAAAGAAACACUCAAAAGGAAACAGAAUGCCAAUACAUGGACUUACAUCCGACUCUAAACAAACAACACACACAAAAGGAA
rnacentral:lncRNA from 1 species